CUGCCCGUAGCUCAACUGGAUAGAGCAGCUGCCUUCUAAGCAGCAGGUCGCAGGUUCGAGUCCUGCCGGGCAGGCCA
rnacentral:tRNA from 2 species